rnacentral:rRNA from 1 species
AUUGAACGCUGGCGGCAGGCCUAACACAUGCAAGUCGAACGGUAACAGAAAGCAGCUUGCUGCUUUGCUGACGAGUGGCGGACGGGUGAGUAAUGUCUGGGAAACUGCCUGAUGGAGGGGGAUAACUACUGGAAACGGUAGCUAAUACCGCAUAACGUCGCAAGACCAAAGAGGGGGACCUUCGGGCCUCUUGCCAUCGGAUGUGCCCAGAUGGGAUUAGCUAGUAGGUGGGGUAAAGGCUCACCUAGGCGACGAUCCCUAGCUGGUCUGAGAGGAUGACCAGCCACACUGGAACUGAGACACGGUCCAGACUCCUACGGGAGGCAGCAGUGGGGAAUAUUGCACAGUGGGCGCAAGCCUGAUGCAGCCAUGCCGCGUGUAUGAAGAAGGCCUUCGGGUUGUAAAGUACUUUCAGCGGGGAGGAAGGGAGUAAAGUUAAUACCUUUGCUCAUUGACGUUACCCGCAGAAGAAGCACCGGCUAACUCCGUG